CCAAUGUGGAUACCCCAGGCAGUCACUCUCCCCGGGCUCCAUCCAGGUGGUGCAGGGGAGCAUAGGGCUCUGCCCAGUCAUGUAUAGUCCCAUUCCACAACGUUGGGGAUGAAGCCAGGCUCUCGAGCCUGCACCUGCAUAUUCUUAAUGAUGUUUAGUCUUCCUAUCCAUGAACAGGGAAUAUUC
rnacentral:snoRNA from 1 species